rnacentral:lncRNA from 1 species
UUCUCCUUUCGCCUAUAUGUAAGUAUGUGUUCUGCAGGCUGAUAUCAUAGGCCAGGUUACCAUAGGCCAAGUUACCAGGAUUAAUUACAGGUCAGAUCACAAUGUAAUAAGCACUAGGAAAGCAAAUUUUUGGCCUACUCAGUUCAAGAAGUGUUCACUGUCAGAAUUUAAAAUAAGUAAAUGACCUCAGAGACAAUCCAGUCCAAGUCCCUUAUUUUAUACUUGAGGGGACUGAGGCCUGAAGAGAUUGACUUGUCUAAGCUCCUAGCAGUUAGAAGAACCAGAAAUAGAUUGCAGAUUGCCAGAUAUCCAAAGAAUCUGGUAUCUUUUCUUCUACUAUAAUGGACUAGAUGUAGUUUUUAAAUGAAUCAGCAACUGGCCCUAUACCUGGCAACAAAGUGAGCACUCAAAUUGUCAAAGGCACAAAAAGGCCAGAUGUAACAUGGCGCCCACCUCUUCCAAGGUCAGUGGGGGGGUUUUCAGUUGCCACUUGAGGGGAACAGGUGUAGAAGAGUAAUGAGCAACUUACAGCUCUCCAACCACGCUGUUGCAGGAAGCUCCGAGAUGAAACUACCUUCUCCUUCUGUCUGGAGAGUGACUGGGCUGGAGGGGUGAAGGUGGACCUUGCUGGCAGGGGACUCGCACUAGUCUGGAGGAGACAGAUUCAGCAGCUGAACCGAGUCAGCCUGGAAAUGGCCAGUGCAGUUGUGAAUGCCUAUCCCUCCCCACAGCUCCUGGUACAGGCUUAUCAGCAGUGUUUUUCGGAUAAAGAACGCCAGAAUUUGCUCGCAGACAUACAGGUGCGCCGUGGGGAAGGUGUGACAUCCACUUCUCGCCGCAUUGGACCAGAACUAUCCAGGCGUAUCUACCUUCAGAUGACCACUUUACAGCCACAUCUCUCUUUAGAUAGUGCUGACUGAUUCUAGCCCUCAGGGAUGAGGAUGAAAAGCUGGAAACUUCCACUUCCCCAACCUCAGAGCCUGACUGUAAUGAAGAGACUGGCAGCACCUCCUGGAACACAAGCCUAGGUGAGGCCCAGUCUUUCUUGGGUCUUAUUAUUUGUGAAGGUCUCUCUGCCUGUCGGCUGGGGCAGAGACUGAAAUACUGCCACCUACCUUUGGCAUUUAAUGUUCCUCUCCUGGCAAAAAUUCACUGCCACAGACAAACCACCCCCACUCCUACCCAGCCAGCCCUCAAAACACAAAGGAACAAAGACAGUCCACUCAGACACUUAUUUAAUAACUGUAGAAAUCCAAAAGAAUUAGCAUCAAAUCUUGAAGUCGUGAGUGAAGCUGCGGGUUGGCUUGACUGGGCUCAGCCACUGAGCUGCCUCAACCGGCCAAGGAACGGGAUUAUGAUGACUAUGCGGACUUCUAUAUUGUCUUCAUCUCAUUGUGUGUAUUAUGUAUUUAGUUUCAAUAAAGCAUUUGUACCAAUG